rnacentral:lncRNA from 13 species
GAAACUCCUGCUCUGGAAGGUAAACAUUGCAAAUAACUUUUUUUUUCUGCAAAUAAUUUUAUCGAUUACUCCAGAAACUUCCUGAGAGAUCCACCAGCUCUCCAACAGGAAGCAAACGCUAUAUCCCAAGAUAUUUCUUUCAUCUUCCAAUUUAUUUGUAAAUGUGGGGAAAUUUGAAUACUUGUGUCUAAUGAUAUUAAAAAUGUUAUCUUUUAGGAAUAUUAAUUCUAUUGUGGCUCUUUUUUUUUCCAAAACAUUUUGAACUUUUCUCUUCAAAAUCCUCUCCUACCUAUACCUACCAAUACUGUGUUAUUCUAUCAUGAUUCUUACCCAAUCCUAAUCAAAUCUCUUCCUUUCCUCCUCCCCGUUAAAAGUCCUACCUUAAGCCAGACUUCAGAAUCUCAUAAAUAUCUUUGUGCUUUUUUUUCAGAGGUGCUGUUAACAUUGGGAGUAGUGCUUUCUCUCACUGAGAAGAAUCUGGUGGACAAGGAAGCCUGAGUAAAGCAGUUUCUACAGGACAUUCUUCCAGAUUAUAAAGAAGUUGGCAGAUGAUGGAUCUAAAGAGGCAAAUGAAGAAUAACUAGCACACAUACAUUGUCCUCUAACAGUAAUGUUCUUUUUUACUUUUUCUAUCUAGGAAAAUCCUGAUUAUCCUCCAAGGCUUAGUUUAUGAGUAACAUUCUAUGUGGAUUCACAGUGCUUCCAAGCAAAGACACUUAGUCUCUCUUCUAUUUGCAUUUAUAUAUUUGUGACAAAGAAUAUUUAUUGGGUAAAAAUACGUAUAGACACAGUAAUAGCCUGCAUUAUUAACCUUAUUUUUUAUAAUGUAAACUAGGUAGUAUACCCAUUUAAUCAUUGAGGAAAACUAGACUUAGCAGGUUAAGUAAUUAGGCCAAACUUACAUAGCUGGUAUUGGCAAUUAUUUUUACCUUUCUAAAAAUUGAUACAUAACAGUUGUAGAUAUUUAUGGGAUACAUGUGAAAUUUUGGUACAUGAGCACAAUGUGUAAUGAUUAAAUUUAG